GGUGAACUAGCCGUUGUUAAGAAUGUAAUAACCUAAAAAAAAUCCUUAAGCGAAAACCCCCUUGCACAAAUCUCCAAAAGUGGAAACAAAAACAAAAAAAAUUGAAAACCUCAUGUGCGGAGCAUGUGAUGCAGAAAGAAGUGGAACUCUCGAAGGAGUCCUCUUUUUCUCUUCGAAUCUGAUCGGGAGAAGGAUCCUAGGCUCAUCCAAACUCCGACAAAGAUCCUAAAUCUUCCAUUUAUAAAUCCCCCAACCCCCUUCCUCUAGACAUCAUCCAAUCUUUUCAUCAAAUCUUUGGUGAAAUCAAUGUCUUAAAAGGUUCUUUCCGUCGAGUCUUCUUCAUGGGAUUUCAUCAGGG
rnacentral:lncRNA from 1 species